CCUACGGGUGGCUGCAGUGGGGAAUAUUGCACAAUGGGCGCAAGCCUGAUGCAGCGACGCCGCGUGAGCGAUGAAGGCCUUCGGGUCGUAAAGCUCUGUCCUAAGGGAAGAAUAAUGACGGUACCUUAGGAGGAAGCCCCGGCUAACUACGUGCCAGCAGCCGAGGUAAUACGUAGGGGGCGAGCGUUAUCCGGAAUCACUGGGCGUAAGGGGUGCGUAGGCGGCCCUGCAAGUCAGGAGUUAAAUCCCUCGGCUCAACCGAGGUCAGCUCUUGAGACUGUAGGGCUUGAGUGCAGGAGAGGAGAUCGGAAUUCCUAGUGUAGCGGCGAAGUGCGUAGAGAUUAGGAGGAACACCAGUGGCGAAGGCGGCUCUCUGGACUGCAACGGACGCUGGGGCACGAAAGCGUGGGGAGCGCACAUGAUUAGAUACCCUUGUAGAC
rnacentral:rRNA from 1 species